rnacentral:lncRNA from 1 species
UUUCUAUCAUUCACACAAUUCAAUCAAAUUUUAGGGGUUUAACAACAACAUUUUCAUCAUUCCCACAAUUCAAUCAAAUUUCAUGGGUUUAACAUCAACAUUUUCAUCAUUCCCACAAUUCAAUCAAUUUUAGGGGUUUAACAACAACAUUUUCAUCAUUCCCACAAUUCAAUCAAAUUUCAUGGGUUUAACAUCAACAUUUUCAUCAUUCCCACAAUUCAAUCAAAAUUCAUGUGUUUAAU